GACAGCUAAACAAAACGAGGCGCCAAAGACGCACGGCGCGACUGGCUGUGGGUAGCCAGACCCAGGACUAGGGCUGCCUGCGUGGCGUCCGAGAGCGGCAGGCCUCGCUUCAGCAGGUGUCUGGAUCCUGGCUGAGGAGACAGUGCAAAAGUGUCCUGGACAGACUCUGUACCUUUCUGGCUCUAAGUGCUUUACUGCUGGACACCCAUGUUGGCAUCUGUGUGCUUGUACUGACCUUCAGGCACAAACUGAAACCCCCAGCUAGCAUUCUCAGGAUGGCACCUCUGUCUCCUACCAGGAAACACCCUAUGCUUCCUGCUUGGAUCCCUCUCAACACUGUUCCUGCCACAAGAACACUCACUCAUGGCUACUUACUCCUCCAGAAACCUCCUCUGACCACUUUGGUCUUUUGGUCCCUGGAUCCCCAGCAGGGUCUGGCUUCAAGACUGCAGAAUUUGCCAUGGGGGACUCCUCAUGACAGCCAAGAUGAUGUUCUACAAUGCACCAGGCAUCGGAGUAGCAUCUGUUGGCUGUGCUUUCAGUCUAGGGCUUUGAAACCUAGAAACAGUUUUAUUUCCCUCCCCUCAACCCUAAUCAGUGCGCCAUGUUACUGAAAUUGCUGCUGUUGACACACAGGGCUUCUCGGAGCUUCGGAUGCAUGGGCCUCCAUGUCGUGAGUGCAAGAAGCUGGCAAGGCAGGAAGCCUCAUGAGCACUUGAUGGCUUGCAUGUGUGGAGGCCAGGGACUUUUGCUGCACUUGGAAAGGGGACCCAAGUCAGGAAGUUCACAAUUUCAGUCUUGGUGUCUAGUCAGACCUAGGAAGAGUUACAGUUGACACAUGCUCAGUUACCAGCUCUGGACUUCUCUGAAAUUCACAUUAAACAUCUUUUUUUUUUUUUUUUCCAAAAAGGAUCUUUAGGUUGUCAUAGUUAUUUGUUUGUUUGUUUGUUUAUUGAGCUGACCCCACUCACAGAGGUCCUCUUGCUUCAGCCUCCCUGUGCUGGGAUUAGAACUUGUGCCAGCAAGCCCAGCUUUUCCUCAUCUUUCUAGAGCUUAAGCUUGGCGCCUACCUCCCUUUAGGAUGUUUUGAGAAUGCAAUCCUGUAGGAAAGGCACUUACAGUGCUCACCCCAGGCUCCAAACCCAAAGCUGACCUGUCCAGAGACUGCCAUGUGACCUUUACUACAAACCCAUGACAUUGAUCUCAUGGCAGUGGCCUUUGUCCCUGUUGACAAAUGUGCACAACACUCAAAGUGUGCAACAUGUGCCAAAGCCAGCUCCAGCAGGUCACUGAGGAGUGGUGUGAGGCUGGUGAUUAGUCACUCAGCAGACUUUUCUCUGAUGGAGCAAAACCUAAUUCUCUGGGGCCAGCGAAAAGGGGAAGAACACACGCACACGCGCGCGCACACACUUGGUGGAUGAAGCAAGGCUCCAAUGAGCUCCAACAACUUUAUUUUUCCUCCUACAGCUUAUAUAUCCCAGUAAAAUCCUUCAAGCAAAAUAAAAAUUACAAUGUGGUUACAUUCUA